rnacentral:rRNA from 1 species
UUACGGCCACAUCACGUUGAAACACCGGUUCCCGUACGAUCACCGAAAUUAAGCAACGUCGAGCCUCGAUAGUACCUAGAUGGGUGACCGUUUGGAAAUAUCAAGUGCGG